rnacentral:lncRNA from 1 species
UCGAAGUCCCUAGAUACUGAAGGCCUCUCUGAAAGAAUAAAACCCAAUCUGUGAUGAAUGAGAGAGAGAGGGAGGAAGUAAGAGAGAGAAACAAUGGAAUUAGAGGAAGGUGCGUGGUGGGUUCUUAACGAAUAAUGGAAAGUGACACGACUGCUUUAAUUCUCGGGCCGCCCCAAACCAGAGAAAAAAGCAGCAAAAAGGGAUCCAGCAACUGCAGCGGCGAG